GUGAGGAAUAUUGGUCAAUGGACGAGAGUCUGAACCAGCCAAGUCGCGUGAAGGAAGACGGUUCUAUGAAUUGUAAACUUCUUUUGUGCAGGAAUAAAGUGGGUUACGUGUAACCUUUUGUAUGUACUGUACGAAUAAGGAUCGGCUAACUCCGUGCCAGCAGCCGCGGUAAUACGGAGGAUCCGAGCGUUAUCCGGAUGUAUUGGGUUUAAAGGGUGCGUAGGUGGAUUGAUAAGUCAGAGGUGAAAGUUUGCAGCUUAACUGUAAAAUUGCCGUUGCAACUGACGGUCUUGAGUGCAAAUGAGGUAGGCGGAAUGUGUUGUGUAGCGGUGAAAUGCUUAGAUAUAACACAGAACUCCGAUUGCGAAGGCAGCUUACUGGGAUGCAACUGACACUGAUGCACGAAAGCGUGGGUAUCAAACAGGAUUAGAAACCCGGGUAGUCC
rnacentral:rRNA from 1 species